AUGUCCUCAUCGUCGUCAUCCUCUCUCCUCGUCCCAUCGGACUGGCUACUCCCUCUGAUGGCAUGCCCUCUGUGUGGCGACCAGGUCGUCACCGCCGUCGCUAGGACCGGCAACAAUGUCGAUCAUCAUUUCUACAAGUGCAUCCGCUACGAUACUUGUCAGUGUCGUUUCUUGAAGUUUCAGCACGCCUAUUGCAGGAGGAUGAAUCAGGACCAGAUUGUUGCUGCACAACAUCAAGCUGGAUGGCACCCCGCUGGGCAUGGAUUCACAGUUCAUCCUUGCAAUGCGCCUGUCCAGAUGGUUCCAGCUGCCAUACAGCCCCAGGCGCAGCAGCACGUCCACCCGCAUCUCCCGCCACAGAUCCAGGCACCGCUGCACCAGCCCCCACAGGCCGUCAUCCCCGCUGCGGCGGCCGGGGCCGCGUCAAGAGCACAAGGACUAGCCGCAGUUGCCGUGCUCAUGGUUGCUGUCAACAUGUUGCUCACCGUUCUCGUCCUGAUGGUCGUGCUUGCUAUGUACUUUGUUUAA
rnacentral:rRNA from 1 species